rnacentral:rRNA from 1 species
UCAGGACGAACGCUGGCGGCGUGCCUAACACAUGCAAGUCGAACGAGGUCCAUCCUUCGGGAGAAGACCUAGUGGCGAACGGGUGAGUAACACGUGAAGAACCUGCCCCGAAGACCGGGAUAACCCUCCGAAAGGAGAGCUAAUACCGGAUACCCCCACCGAACCGCAUGGUUUGGUGAGGAAAUGGAUUCCGCUUCGGGAGGGCUUCGCGGCCUAUCAGCUAGUUGGUGGGGUAACGGCCCACCAAGGCAUCGACGGGUAGCUGGUCUGAGAGGACGAUCAGCCACACUGGGACUGAGACACGGCCCAGACUCCUACGGGAGGCAGCAGUGGGGAAUCUUGCGCAAUGGGCGAAAGCCUGACGCAGCAACGCCGCGUGGGGAUGAAGGCUCUCGGGUUGUAAACCCCUUUCAGCAGGGACGAAUCAAGACGGUACCUGCAGAAGAAGCCCCGGCUAACUACGUG